GGGGAAUGCUUCUGUGCUUGAUUGCAUGGGGUGGAAUUCAAGACUUUUACUUUGAGGAAAUUAGAGUGUUCACGGCAAGCUACCGCUUUGAAUACAUUAGCAUGGAAUAAUAAUAUAGGGCGUAAGUUCUAUUUUGUUGGUUUCUAGGACAUACGACAAUGAUUAAUAGGGACAAUUGGGGGCAUUCGUAUUAACGCGUCAGAGGUGGAAUUCUUAGAUUGCGUUACAACGAACUACUGCGAAAGCAUUUGCCAAAGAUG
rnacentral:rRNA from 1 species